rnacentral:lncRNA from 1 species
ACAUAUCCUGUGAGGAUCUGGAGAACACGUUGCAUUAUCAUUCUCAGAAAAUGCUGCACACCAUGUGCCAGUGCCUGCAAACAGCAUUUUUUUCACGUAAUCUCACAAAGUACUGUUCACACCAUCGGGAGUGUUAGAAUAUUAUAAAGACAGGAGGAACAUAUGAUAACAGUUCUGCUAUAAGCCUUCCUAAGGUUGCAAAAACCAAAAAAAAACCAAAAAUAACCCACCCAGAUUACUGUUGCAGAACUUAAUGAACUUAAUUCUUGAAUGCCAAGAGUGAAGAGCAAAGAGAGACUUCACUGCUUCAUGGAUCAGCUCUGUUCGCAGGUGAUGGUGUUGUUGAUGUGUUAGUCCCUUCAGGGGCUGUCUGCAAGAACAAUUGGUGCAAGGAAAUUCACUGCAUGAAUACAAACACUAAAAAUAUGAGGACUUCAAUGCAAAGGUGGAAGUUCACAACUUUAAUCAGCAAGAAAAUCACAUAAAGUGAAUUAUAUUAAGUAAACUUACAUGUACUUAAUCUAUGCCCAUCAAUAGCUUAGAAAGUGAGAAAAUAACCUUUUCAGAACAGGAUACUUUGGAGGUAGAACAAGAUGCAUCAGUUAAAGUUUUGACACCAGCAUCAAAAUAUUGAUUCAUAAAGCCUAAAACUUGUCUGUUUUUAUAAACAGCGUGGGUAUAAAGCUGGAGAGAUGAGUAAGAGACCUCCAGUUAAACUGCCAUUGCAUAUGAAAUAGUUGCUGUAGCACUGUAAGACCAAA